UAGGGAAUCUUCGGCAAUGGGGGGAACCCUGAACGAGCAACGCCGCGUGAGUGAAGAAGGUUUUCGGAUCGUAAAGCUCUGUUGUUAAGGAAGAACGAGUGUGAGAAUGGAAAGUUCAUACUGUGACGGUACUUAACCAGAAAGGGACGGCUAACUACGUGCCAGCAGCCGCGGUAAUACGUAGGUCCCGAGCGUUGUCCGGAUUUAUUGGGCGUAAAGCGAGCGCAGGCGGUUAGAUAAGUCUGAAGUUAAAGGCAGUGGCUCAACCAUUGUAGGCUUUGGAAACUGUUUAACUUGAGUGCAGAAGGGGAGAGUGGAAUUCCAUGUGUAGCGGUGAAAUGCGUAGAUAUAUGGAGGAACACCGGUGGCGAGAGCGGCUCUCUGGUCUGUAACUGACGCUGAGGCUCGAAAGCGUGGGGAGCAAACAGG
rnacentral:rRNA from 1 species